rnacentral:lncRNA from 1 species
CCGCGGCCGUGCCGGACUGGGUCUGGGUCGCCGCUGGGCGCUCCCGCUCCGCACCGCGGGCCGCGCGCUCCGAGGGGGUGGGGGUGGGGGUGGGGGUGGACGUCCUCGGCCUCGUGGCCAGGCCGCCGGUCGCGCUGUCCCCGCCUCGGGGCCGGACUUGCCGAGUCCCCGUCCCCGCCUGCGCCGCUGCCGCGCGCUCCUGCUCCGCGAGCGCCUUCCGCCGGCCGGAGCGCACACGGACCCGGCAGCCGCGCCUCGGCGCCCGCCAGCACCCGGGAGCAUGCGGCGGCCGGGGCCCGCGACGCUGCACGCUCUGCGGGACCGCGGGGCGCGCGAACUGAUGUCCUUGGCCAUGACGCACCCCCAACCGCUGUCUGCUCAGGCACAGCCUGUGUGACUGAGCCAUUGCCACCCCAGCUGUUUCACGUGAGUGUGUGGCUCAGGCCAACUCUCUGUCCCCAGGAGAAGGUGUCCGGGCCCUGGGUAGCGAGGGGUGUUCCUGGGGAAGAAGUCCAGAAAGUCCUGGUCACAGAGGGCAGGCCCGGGAGUCUUUAGCGGGCAACAGGUCUGUCCUCUUUGGCCGUCCUUGGUCCCUGACUUGGCCACCACUGAACCCAUCUGUUCAGAUCCACUAGGCCCUGGGAGGGGACCUCUUUCUCCUGUUCUUUGGAAGCUCCUCAGAAGGCAGCUGGGUAUUAUGGAGACUUUAUGGCACUGGCCCUUGGGUCCUGACUCAGACACUUGACUUUAGGCACAUCAUUUAUUUAAUGGUCUGGCUUCCUCUCCUGCAUGUGGGGUUUUUGCGUGGUGCUGAGGUGUAUUAGUUAUCUCUCGCUGUACAGUGGGACUACUACAAACUUAGCAGCUGAAACAACACACACUGAUUACCUUGCAGUUUCUGUGGGUCAGGGAUCCAGGCGUGGCUAGCGGGUUCCUGUCUCUGGGUCUGUCAUAAGGCUGCAUUCAGGCGUCUUGGGGCUACAGUUUCAUCUCAAAGCUCAACUGGGGAAGGACCCGCUUCCACUCUCACUUGUGCGAUUUUCCAGUUCCAUUUAGGUCAUUGGACUGAGGGCCAGAGGCCACCCUCUGUUCCUUGCCACAUGGGCCUCCCAGCAUGGCGACUUGCUGCGUCCAAACCAGCAAGGGAAGGAGUUGG